rnacentral:pre_miRNA from 1 species
CGGUGUUGCAUAUUCUUAGACCCGAUCUUGUAGCAAGAACUGAGUAGUUCGUUAACUCGCUACGCGGUUCUUGUCACAAGACCGAGCCUGUGAAUAUGCAAAGGUGG